rnacentral:rRNA from 1 species
UACGUAGGGUGCAAGCGUUGUCCGGAAUUAUUGGGCGUAAAGAGCUCGUAGGCGGUUUGUCGCGUCUGCUGUGAAAACUCGGGGCUUAACUCCGGGCCUGCAGUGGGUACGGGCAGACUAGAGUGCGGUAGGGGAGACUGGAAUUCCUGGUGUAGCGGUGAAAUGCGUAGAUAUCGAGAGGAACACCUGCGGCGAAGGCGGGUUGCUGGGCUGACACUGACGCUGAGGCGCGAAAGCUAGGGGAGCGAACGGG